GAUGAACGCUGGCGGCGUGCCUAAUACAUGCAAGUCGAGCGAACGGACGAGAAGCUUGCUUCUCUGAUGUUAGCGGCGGACGGGUGAGUAACACGUGGAUAACCUACCUAUAAGACUGGGAUAACUUCGGGAAACCGGAGCUAAUACCGGAUGAUAUUUUGAACCGCAUGGUGCAAAAGUGAAAGACGGUCUUGCUGUCACUUAUAGAUGGAUCCGCGCUGCAUUAGCUAGUUGGUAAGGUAACGGCUUACCAAGGCAACGAUGCAUAGCCGACCUGAGAGGGUGAUCGGCCACACUGGAACUGAGACACGGUCCAGACUCCUACGGGAGGCAGCAGUAGGGAAUCUUCCGCAAUGGGCGAAAGCCUGACGGAGCAACGCCGCGUGAGUGAUGAAGGUCUUCGGAUCGUAAAACUCUGUUAUUAGGGAAGAACAUAUGUGUAAGUAACUGUGCACAUCUUGACGGUACCUAAUCAGAAAGCCACGGCUAACUACGUG
rnacentral:rRNA from 1 species